GUGGGGAAUAUUGGGCAAUGGGCGAAAGCCUGACCCAGCAACGCCGCGUGAGGGAAGAAGGUUUUCGGAUUGUAAACCUCUGUCCUUGGUGACGAAGGAAGUGACGGUAGCCAAGGAGGAAGCCCCGGCUAACUACGUGCCAGCAGCCGCGGUAAUACGUAGGGGGCGAGCGUUGUCCGGAAUGACUGGGCGUAAAGGGCGUGUAGGCGGCCGAUUAAGUCUGGAGUGAAAGUCCUGCUUUCAAGGUGGGAAUUGCUUUGGAGACUGGUUGGCUUGCGUGCGGAAGAGGUAAGUGGAAUGCCCAGUGUAGCGGUGAAAUGCGUAGAGAUUGGGAGGAACACCAGUGGCGAAGGCGACUUACUGGGCCGUAACUGACGCUGAGGCGCGAAAGCGUGGGGAGCGAACAGGAUUAGAAACCCUAGUAGUCC
rnacentral:rRNA from 1 species